UACGAAGGGUGCAAGCGUUACUCGGAAUUACUGGGCGUAAAGCGUGCGUAGGUGGUUCGUUAAGUCUGAUGUGAAAGCCCUGGGCUCAACCUGGGAAUGGCAUUGGAUACUGGCGAUCUAGAGUGCGGUAGAGGGCAGUGGAAUUCCCGGUGUAGCAGUGAAAUGCGUAGAGAUCGGGAGGAACAUCUGUGGCGAAGGCGACUGCCUGGACCAGCACUGACACUGAGGCACGACAGCAUGGGGAGCGAACGGG
rnacentral:rRNA from 1 species